rnacentral:misc_RNA from 1 species
GUUUCUUGUAAUUAACAAUCACUAUUCUCAAUUCAUCUUCCCUCCCAACCCAAGCUUUAAUUGAUAUUCAUUGAAGGAUUUAUACCUUCGAUUAAUUUUUUGCAACUUUUAGGUAAGCAAGUGCAUUUAGAUUUCUUUUUUGAUAAAAAAUCAUCACAGUUUCUUCUGUUUUCUCUUCCUGACAAACUUUCCUCUCUCUGGGAUUCUGGAUUUUAGUUUAGCAUAUGUAUAUGAUGAUUUUGGGUGAUUUUGCAUAAGGGUACUCAUCUGUUGGAAGGAAUUUCUUCUGUAGAAAAUGACAAGGCAGAAAAUCCA